rnacentral:rRNA from 1 species
GUCGAACGAAGCACUUUGGAUAGAUUUCUUCGGAUUGAUAUCCUUACUGUACUGAGUGGCGGACGGGUGAGUAACGCGUGGGUAACCUGCCUCAUACAGGGGGAUAACAGUUAGAAAUGGCUGCUAAUACCGCAUAAGCGCACAGUACCACAUGGUACCGUGUGAAAAACUCCGGUGGUAUGAGAUGGACCCGCGUCUGAUUAGCUAGUUGGCAGGGUAACGGCCUACCAAGGCGACGAUCAGUAGCCGACCUGAGAGGGUGAUCGGCCACAUUGGGACUGAGACACGGCCCAAACUCCUACGGGAGGCAGCAGUGGGGAAUAUUGCACAAUGGGGGAAACCCUGAUGCAGCGACGCCGCGUGAAGGAAGACGUAUUUCGGUAUGUAAACUUCUAUCAGCAAGGAAGAUGAUGACGGUACUUGACUAAGAAGCCCCGGCUAACUACGUGCCAGCAGCCGCGGUAAUACGUAGGGGGCAAGCGUUAUCCGGAUUUACUGGGUGUAAAGGGAGCGUAGGCGGCCAUGCAAGUCAGAAGUGAAAGCCCGGGGCUCAACCCCGGGACUGCUUUUGUAACUGUAAGGCUAGACUGCCGGAGAGGUAAGCGGAAUUCCUAGUGUAGCGGUGAAAUGCGUAGAUAUUAGGAGGAACACCAGUGGCGAAGGCGGCUUACUGGACGGUGAAUGACGCUGAGGCUCGAAAGCGUGGGGAGCAAACAGGAUUAGAUACCCUGGUAGUCCACGCUGUAAACGAUGAAUACUAGGUGUUGGGGUCCAAAAGGACUUCGGUGCCGCAGCAAACGCAAUAAGUAUUCCACCUGGGGAGUACGUUCGCAAGAAUGAAACUCAAAGGA